GACAGAAGUGCUGGGAGCCACCCAAGGUUUUCAAAGAGGUUCUUGAAGAAGUGGGAGCUCUGUGGAGCAGUGAUGAUGAAUGCUGCUUUGCUGGGAUCUGUCCUUUUCACUUCCUCAAACACAAGCAAAUAAGAAGUGAUUGUAAUGCUAGCUGCUGUCUCCAGAUCAAAAGAUGGGAAUGCAGCAGCUCAGUAACACUCGGGUUUGGGAGAAGGAGGCCCCGAAAAUGCACCCAGAGGCCCUGGCUUGGAAAACUGACCUUUGCUGAAAGCAGCUAAUCACGUGCAAGUCUUAAGCAUGUCCUUCAGUUUCAUUGAAGAAAAUAGACUUGAAGUGCGUGCUUGAAUCUAAGUGCAUGGUGAAGUGUGUUCCUGGGCCUCAGAUAGGGUAAUGAUGGCUGCAUAGAUGAUGGCCAGAUACAUCAGGAGAUAGGGCUGCAACACAGCCAUGAGCUCACUGCUGUCUCACACAAGGCUGCUUCAGGUCUGGCAGCCCAAGGGACAGAGCCCUGGCUCUUUGCUGUCUUGUGAAGCCUCACUGCAUCACCCUCAUCCAGGCUCCAUCCUUCCCUUUCCCCAAGGCCACUCCUUCCAUCGCUCUGCCUGCACUAUGAAAGCGCCUGGCCCGAAUAUUUGCUGCACAUCAGCACAAACCCAACCCUUCCCUUUCUGUGCUUAGCAGGACGGAGCCAGCCACACUGCUACUGGGAGCAGAAAUUGGGGAGCAGGGGGCAGGGGCCAGCAUAUGCCAGGGCUCAGAGGACAGCAUGCAGACCCAGGGUGGUGGCUGCUGCUGCUUUGUCCAAAUCCCUCAUGUCUAUACCAGCACUGUAAAGCACAGAUGUGGCCCCUUCUGGGGCUCCAGGAACCCAGAAAUCAAACUACCCUUCAAGACCCAGGGCUCAGCAUCCUGCGUGCCUCAGGGGACCCCACCCUGGGCAGUUCUGUGCCUAAACAGAAGUCACCUGAAAAUCUGGUGCCCCCAGAGCUUGUCCAAGGUCAGGGAGGAAGCUGGUGAUGGAGCCAGGAAUGGGGUCUUCCUUCCCAUCCCACCUGCCCAGCCUUCUGCUCCAGCCCUCUGCACACACCCAUCCCAUGCCAUUCCUCCCUGUCCGUCCAUAAUUUGGUUGUUUGCUGCUCUUUAUGCUCUGGAGUGCAGAUAGUUGGUGUACAUCUAUGUCAUAUUUUCUCAAAAAUCUAUUAAAUUAUCUUCAUUGCUCCCAGGACGUAAAG
rnacentral:lncRNA from 7 species